rnacentral:rRNA from 1 species
ACGAACGCCGGCGGCGUGCUCAACACAUGCAAGUCGAACGGAAAGGCCCUGCUUUUGUGGGGUGCUCGAGUGGCGAACGGGUGAGUAACACGUGAGUAACCUGCCCUUGACUUUGGGAUAACUUCAGGAAACUGGGGCUAAUACCGGAUAGGAGCUCCUGCUGCAUGGUGGGGGUUGGAAAGUUUCGGCGGUUGGGGAUGGACUCGCGGCUUAUCAGCUUGUUGGUGGGGUAGUGGCUUACCAAGGCUUUGGCGGGUAGCCGGCCUGAGAGGGUGACCGGCCACAUUGGGACUGAGAUACGGCCCAGACUCCUACGGGAGGCAGCAGUGGGGAAUAUUGCACAAUGGGCGGAAGCCUGAUGCAGCAACGCCGCGUGCGGGAUGACGGCCUUCGGGUUGUAAACCGCUUUCGCCUGUGACGAAGCGUGAGUGACGGUAAUGGGUAAAGAAGCACCGGCUAACUACGUGCCAGCAGCCGCGGUGAUACGUAGGGUGCGAGCGUUGUCCGGAUUUAUUGGGCGUAAAGGGCUCGUAGGUGGUUGAUCGCGUCGGAAGUGUAAUCUUGGGGCUUAACCCUGAGCGUGCUUUCGAUACGGGUUGACUUGAGGAAGGUAGGGGAGAAUGGAAUUCCUGGUGGAGCGGUGGAAUGCGCAGAUAUCAGGGGGAACACCAGUGGCGAAGGCGGUUCUCUGGGCCUUUCCUGACGCUGAGGAGCGAAAGCGUGGGGAGCGAACAGGCUUAGAUACCCUGGUAGUCCACGCUGUAAACGGUGGGUACUAGGUGUGGGGUCCAUUCCACGGGUUCCGUGCCGUAGCUAACGCUUUAAGUACCCCGCCUGGGGAGUACGGCCGCAAGGCUAAAACUCAAAGGAAUUGACGGGGCCCCGCACAAGCGGCGGAGCAUGCGGAUUAAUUCGAUGCAACGCGUAGAACCUUACCUGGGUUUGACAUGGAUCGGGAGUGCUCAGAGAUGGGUGUGCCUCUUUUGGGGUCGGUUCACAGGUGGUGCAUGGCUGUCGUCAGCUCGUGUCGUGAGAUGUUGGGUUAAGUCCCGCAACGAGCGCAACCCUUGUUCACUGUUGCCAGCACGUUAUGGUGGGGACUCAGUGGAGACCGCCGGGGUCAACUCGGAGGAAGGUGGGGAUGACGUCAAGUCAUCAUGCCCCUUAUGUCCAGGGCUUCACGCAUGCUACAAUGGCUGGUACAGAGAGUGGCGAGCCUGUGAGGGUGAGCGAAUCUCGGAAAGCCGGUCUCAGUUCGGAUUGGGGUCUGCAACUCGACCUCAUGAAGUCGGAGUCGCUAGUAAUCGCAGAUCAGCAACGCUGCGGUGAAUACGUUCCCGGG